UUGGAGUAGUUUUUAAAAAUGGCUUCUCUACAGGCUCGUGUUUUAUAUGACUUUGAUGGGGAUCCAAAAAAUGGAGAGUUAAUAAUUCGUGCUGGUGAUAUUUUAUCAGUGGCACGACAGGAUGUUGGUGAUGGAUGGUGGGAAGGAAGUUUGAAUGGUGGAGCUCAUGGUUUAUUUCCUGCUGCGUAU
rnacentral:lncRNA from 1 species